UAUUCACCGCUAGAGGACGCUGGCGUCAACUGCCCGUUGCCGUCGAUUCCGCGUUUCGGCGAGCAAGUGUGCAACAGUGUCGUCGGAACGCUGGAGAAUUUGUUUUCAAGGGACGAGAUUCGUUUAUUUUUUAAAUAAAGUAAUAAUAUGAUAACAUCGAUAUUGUACUAUAUCUUAAACCGCACUAUAGAAGAUAACCUUCUGUCAUUCGGUCCGUCUGGCUUCUAUAAGUAUCGACAAUCGAAUUCAAACGUUGAAAAUAAAUUAAAACUAUAAUGUUAUUAUUCUGCAAUUUUAAGGGUACAUCAACACAUACAAAAGAAGAAUUUUUUAUGUAAUACAUUAUAUGAAUUUACUGUCAUCUGCCGAAGGAAAAAAUGGAGUUUGCAGUUUCUACUAAAUAUGGGGUUACGCCAGACGACGGUAUUGCUAUAAUAAUAAAUUAAUCUCUGUGUUUCCGAUUGACAAACCAAUACAGUCUUAAUGUGAGAUAGUAUCCAAUUUCGAUGAAAGAUAGAACGCUGCAGCCGAGGAAAAAUGACGCCGUACCUCCAAGGGAAACUGAAAUAAUUGGUAAAUGAAAUGUAAUCGGAUUUAUGGUUAUUUGGAAUUGAAAAAUCAUUCGGAAAAUUACGAUUUGUCCGAAGUUAAAUUCUGGCCUGAUAUAUACCUCUAUACAUUUACCAGCACCUACAUUUGUAAGUAUGAAAAUAGUCCUUUUAACCAUGAUGUAGAUAAAAAUCUAUCUGCAUCGACUGCAUAUGAUUUUAAUGUAUGAAUUUUAAAUUAAUUGUUUGGUAACUUUUUAUCGUCAUUAAUUGUAUGGUAUAAAAAUUUAAAUAAACGAUUGUAUUAUGGGCGUGUCAUUCUGUUAAUGUUUUUCAAUAUAGCCAAUCAGAGUAGUUGUUGGUUAAGUGCUAACUAUGUAAAGUAAAAAUAAAUUGUUUUUUUGUUUUUAUUUUUUAUUGAAAGCAUACUCUAAUAACAUUUGAGGUAUUUUUUUUUACUACCUAUACA